GACGAACGCUGGCGGCGUGCUUAACACAUGCAAGUCGAACGGAAAGGCCCUGCUUUUGUGGGGUGCUCGAGUGGCGAACGGGUGAGUAACACGUGAGUAACCUGCCCUUGACUUUGGGAUAACUUCAGGAAACUGGGGCUAAUACCGGAUAGGAGCUCCUGCUGCAUGGUGGGGGUUGGAAAGUUUCGGCGGUUGGGGAUGGACUCGCGGCUUAUCAGCUUGUUGGUGGGGUAGUGGCUUACCAAGGCUUUGACGGGUAGCCGGCCUGAGAGGGUGACCGGCCACAUGGGGCCUGAGAUACGGCCCGGACGCCUCCGGGAGGCAGCGGUGGGGAAUAUUGCCCAAUGGGCGGAGGCCUGAUGCAGCAACGCCGGGUGCGGGAUGACGGCCUUCGGGUUGUAACCCGCUUUCGCCUGUGACGAAGCGUGAGUGAGGGUAAUGGGUAAAGAGGCACCGCCUAAUUAGGU
rnacentral:rRNA from 1 species